AGAAAUAGUAAUCCAACAUAUUAACACUGAACAGCAUCUUAGAGCGCAAGUGCUUAGGUAACACUGAAAUUCAACCGUGGUGUUCUGUCAGGAGAUGCAGUUACUUAAUCUAACGGGAGGAUUAGCGGCCAUUUUCGGUGCAAUUAAAUGUUAGCCUUUAUGCCUGCUGGCUAUCGCUCCCAGGUGCUGGUCCUGGGAGGUCUGAGUGCGGACAGCUAAUAGCCACCCUUUAGCCUGAGUCUGGCCAGCUGUUCCCUCUAUAGAUUGCACAGAUGCCAGUACCUGCAAUCAUAACAUUUGAAAGACAGGAAAAGUGUGUGACACACCGCUCAGAAACUCUCUUCUGUUCUCUUGGAAAAAAGACACUCAAAAAUGUAAUGAUUGUUGGUAUUUUAAAAAAAAACUUUCCGAUGGAAUAUAGCUAC